rnacentral:rRNA from 1 species
CAGUAGCCACGGUAAAACGUAGGUGGCAAGCGUUGUCCGGAAUUAUUGGGCGUAAAGGGCUCGCAGGCGGUUUCUUAAGUCUGAUGUGAAAGCCCCCGGCCCAACCGUGGAGGGUCAUUGGAAACUGGAAAACUUGAGUGCAGAAGAGGAAAGUGGAAUUCCAUGUGUAGCGGUGAAAUGCGCAGAGAUAUGGAGGAACACCAGUGGCGAAGGCGACUUUCUGGUCUGUAACUGACGCUGAUGUGCAAAAGCGUGGGGAUCAAACAGGAUUAGAUACCCCAGUAGUCCCUGUCUCUUAUAC